GACGAACGCUGGCGGCGUGCUUAACACAUGCAAGUCGAACGGAAAGGCCCUGCUUUUGUGGGGUGCUCUAGUUGCGAACUGGUGAGUAACACGUGAGUAACCUGCCCUUGACUUUGAGAUAACUUCAGGAAACUUGGUCUAAUACCGGAUAGGAGCUCCUGCUUCUUGGUGGGGGUGGGAAGGUUUCGGUGGUUGGGGAGGGACUCGCGGCUUAUCAGAUUGUUGGUGGGGUAGUGGCUUACCAAGGCUUUGACGGGUAGCCGGGCUGAGCGGGUGAGCGGCCACACCGGGACUGAGAUAAGGCACAGCCUACUACGGGAGGCAGGAGUGGGGAAUAGUGCACAAUGGGAGGAAGCAUGAUGCAGUCAAGCAGCGUGGGGGAUGACGGCAUUCGGGUUGUAAAGCGCAUUUGCCUGUGACGAAGCGUGAGUGACGGUAAUGGGUAAAGAAGCACCGGCUAACUACGUG
rnacentral:rRNA from 1 species